rnacentral:rRNA from 1 species
AGGACGAACGCUUGCGGCGUGCCUAAGAAAUGCAAGUCGAGCGGAAGUAGCAAUACUUUAGCGGCGAACGGUCGCGUAACACGUAGCCAACCUGCCCAGAAGACCGGGACAACACUCCGAAAGGGGUGCUAAUACCGGAUGUGCCCAUUUUGCCACAUGGCUUAAUGAGUAAAUCAUUUAUGGCUUCUGGAGGGGGCUGCGGCCUAUCAGCUAGAUGGUGGGGUAAUGGCCUACCAUGGCGUCGACGGGUAGCUGGUCUGAGAGGAUGGUCAGCCGGACUGGGACUGAGAUACGGCCCAGACUCCUACGGGGGCAGCAAUUAGGAAUCUUGCGCAAUGGGGGCAACCCUGACGCAGCGACGCCGCGUGGAGGAUGACGGCCUUCGGGUUGUAAACUCCUUUUAUCGGGGUAAGAACAAAUGACGGUACCCGAUGAAUAAGCCCCGGCUAACUCCGCGCCAGCAGCCGC